rnacentral:tRNA from 1 species
GCCGUGGUGGUGGAAUUGGUAGACACGCAGGACUUAAAAUCCUGUGCUACUUAAAUAGCGUGCGGGUUCGAUUCCCGCCCGCGGUA